AGUGAACGCUGGCGGUAGACCUAACACAUGCAAGUCGAACGGCAGCACGGUAAGAGCUUGCUCUUACGGGUGGCGAGUGGCGGACGGGUGAGGAAUACAUCGGAAUCUACUUUUUCGUGGGGGAUAACGUAGGGAAACUUACGCUAAUACCGCAUACGACCUACGGGUGAAAGCAGGGGAUCUUCGGACCUUGCGCGAUUGAAUGAGCCGAUGUCGGAUUAGCUAGUUGGCGGGGUAAAGGCCCACCAAGGCGACGAUCCGUAGCUGGUCUGAGAGGAUGAUCAGCCACACUGGAACUGAGACACGGUCCAGACUCCUACGGGAGGCAGCAGUGGGGAAUAUUGGACAAUGGGCGCAAGCCUGAUCCAGCCAUACCGCGUGGGUGAAGAAGGCCUUCGGGUUGUAAAGCCCUUUUGUUGGGAAAGAAAAGCAGCAGGUUAAUACCCCGCUGUUCUGACGGUACCCAAAGAAUAAGCACCGGCUAACUUCGUG
rnacentral:rRNA from 1 species